GGUAGAAUGGCUGAGAUUUAGGCAAUAGAUUGUAAAUCUAUUUAGGAGGGGAAACCUCUUCUACCA
rnacentral:tRNA from 1 species